rnacentral:sRNA from 1 species
UCGAAGUACAGGUUUUAUGCCUUAAUUU